rnacentral:rRNA from 1 species
UACGUAGGGACCAAGCGUUGUUCGGAUUUACUGGGCGUAAAGCGUGCGCAGGCGGUUGUGCAAGACAGAUGUGAAAUCCCCGGGCUUAACCUGGGAACUGCAUUUGUGACUGCACAGCUGGAGUGCGGCAGAGGGGGAUGGAAUUCCGCGUGUAGCAGUGAAAUGCGUAGAUAUGCGGAGGAACACCGAUGGCGAAGGCAAUCCCCUGGGCCUGCACUGACGCUCAUGCACGAAAGCGUGGGGAGCGAACAGG